GUCAACGUAACGUGACGAACCUGACGUCGCCAACUCCCGCAGCCGCGGGCUGACGCGAACGCACGUCGGAGUAUAACAGAGCCUUUACAGUUAUAAGGUGGCCACACACAGCACGCCGUCAAUAUUCGCUACAUUCAACAGGUGGUGACCUGUGGAACCCAGAGGAGUACCUUCUUGCUGAUCGCCACGUGUUGGGAGCGGCUAGAGAACGUCACUACAGUAUUCUGCAUGUUAUUCACCAGUUAUUUUUCCUUUCACGUCUGUUAUGCUUAACGAUUGUAGUCUACUUUGGAAUUCGUUCAAAGGGCACUUUUGGUAUUAACCCAGACCAUGGAAGCAAGGCUGAGAAAAAAAGCAAGGAAAGAGAACCCAAAAAUAUUCAGUUUGACGAAAAAAUCAUGGAUUCUGAAUGGAAUGUUUACAUUUUUGAACACCUAAAAAAGUACAAGAUGAAUCAAACUGCUACAAAGAGAUUAUGAUAAAGUUAUUUAUUGUGCCUGGAAUGGACAUAUGCCAAAUGCAGAAUCCAGGGCGAUGGACGGAACGCUGAUACAUCAGUUGCUGUUAUGAAUGUUCAAAGCCUCUAUCAUCUCGCGAGUUGUCUGUUUAUUAUUCCUGACGAUGGUGUUGGUUUUUUCAAAUUGCAAAACGAAAAUUCGUAUUUGAACAGGCCAGAGUGAUAAAACCCUGUAUAUUUUAUCACCUUUGCGGGUUUUUUUGUGUGACCACCUGCAUGUAUAUAAGUGUGUGUCGAUGUGAAUAAAGAUCGGUUGA